rnacentral:rRNA from 1 species
GACGAACGCUGGCGGCGUGCCUAAUACAUGCAAGUUGAGCGCUGAAGGUUGGUACUUGUACCAACUGGAUGAGCAGCGAACGGGUGAGUAACGCGCGUGGAAUCUGCCUUUGAGCGGGGGACAACAUUUGGAAACGAAUGCUAAUACCGCAUAAAAACUUUAAACACAAGUUUUAAGUUUGAAAGAUGCAAUUGCAUCACUCAAAGAUGAUCCCGCGUUGUAUUAGCUAGUUGGUGAGGUAAAGGCUCACCAAGGCGAUGAUACAUAGCCGACCUGAGAGGGUGAUCGGCCACAUUGGGACUGAGACACGGCCCAAACUCCUACGGGAGGCAGCAGUAGGGAAUCUUCGGCAAUGGACGAAAGUCUGACCGAGCAACGCCGCGUGAGUGAAGAAGGUUUUCGGAUCGUAAAACUCUGUUGGUAGAGAAGAACGUUGGUGAGAGUGGAAAGCUCAUCAAGUGACGGUAACUACCCAGAAAGGGACGGCUAACUACGUG